UACGUAGGGCGCAAGCGUUGUCCGGAAUUACUGGGCGUAAAGAGCUCGUAGGUGGUUUGUCGCGUUGUUCGUGAAAACUCACAGCUCAACUGUGGGCGUGCGGGCGAUACGGGCAGACUUGAGUACUGCAGGGGAGACUGGAAUUCCUGGUGUAGCGGUGAAAUGCGCAGAUAUCAGGAGGAACACCGGUGGCGAAGGCGGUUCUCUGGGCCUUACCUGACGCUGAGGAGCGAAAGCAUGGGGAGUGAACAGG
rnacentral:rRNA from 1 species